CAGCCGCCGCGGUAAUACGUAGGUGGCAAGCGUUAUCCGGAAUUAUUGGGUGUAAAGCGCGCGUAGGCGGUUUUUUAAGUCUGAUGUGAAAGCCCACGGCUCAACCGUGGAGGGUCAUUGGAAACUGGAAAACUUGAGUGCAGAAGAGGAAAGUGGAAUUCCAUGUGUAGCGGUGAAAUGCGCAGAGAUAUGGAGGAACACCAGUGGCGAAGGCGACUCUCUGGUCUGUAACUGACGCUGAGGAGCGAAAGCAUGGGGAGCGAACAGGAUUAGAUACCCCGGUAGUCCCUGUCUCUUAUAC
rnacentral:rRNA from 1 species